ensembl:lncRNA
CUGCUUCGCAUUUGUUGUGAAACCAGGUCGUCCAACAACAGCGACAGCAAUAAUGAUCGUGGAGCUGCCACUUCACACGACACAGGAUAUGGAUCUCAAAUGUCAGGACUGAUUCAACAUGUUAAUGACAGCGAAGCCAUCCAGGAAGAAACCCCAGCACUGCAUUAUAGGAGGUAAAACCUGCAGGUGAUGAAUGGAGACUCAUUCACUCUGCAGUGCACUCUCAACAUCUUGGCUUAGGACUGGCAGAUUGAAGGAAGCUGUGGUAUUUUCAAGGCUCUAUAAAUAGCUAUCAUUAUUUCCCAC